rnacentral:rRNA from 1 species
GAUGAACGCUGGCGGCGUGCCUAAUACAUGCAAGUCGAGCGAACAGACGAUGAGCUUGCUCCUCUGACGUUAGCGGCGGACGGGUGAGUAACACGUGGAUAACCUACCUAUAAUACUGGGAUAACUUCGGGAAACCGGAGCUAAUACCAGAUAAUAUAUUGAACCGCAUGGUUCAAUAGUGAAAGACGGUUUUGCUGUCACUUAUAGAUGGUUCCGUGCCGGAUUAGCUAGUUGGUAAGGUAACGGCUUACCAAGGCAACGAUGCGUAGCCGACCUGAGAGGGUGAUCAGCCACACUGGAACUGAGACACGGUCCAGACUCCUACGGGAGGCAGCAGUAGGGAAUCUUCGGCAAUGGGCGAAAGCCUGACGGAGCAAUGCCGCGUGAGUGAUGAAGGUCUUCGGAUCGUAAAGCUCUGUUAUUAGGGAAGAACAAAUGUGUAAGUAACUAUGCACGUCUUGACGGUACCUAAUCAGAAAGCCACGGCUAACUACGUG